rnacentral:rRNA from 1 species
CCCUUAGAUGUUCUGGGCCGCACGCGCGCUACACUGAAGGGAUCAGCGUGUUUUCCCUUCCCGAGAGGGACGGGUAACCCGCUGAACCCCCUUCGUGGUAGGGAUCGGAGCUUGCAAUUGUUCUCCGUGAACCAGGAAUUCCCAGUAAGCGCAAGUCAUAAGCUUGCGUUGAUUACGUCCCUGCCCUUUGUACACACCGCCCGUCGCUACUACCGAUUGAACGUUUUAGUGAGGUAUUUGGACUGGGCCUUGGGAGGUUUCGGCCUCCCUUGUUGCUCGGAAAGACUCCCAAACUUGAGCGUUUAGAGGAAGGAGAAGUCGUAACA